rnacentral:rRNA from 1 species
UACUCCUACGGGAGGCAGCAGUGAGGAAUAUUGGACAAUGGGCGCAAGCCUGAUCCAGCAAUGCCGCGUGUGUGAAGAAGGUCUUCGGGUUGUAAACCUCUUUUCUCAGGGAAGAUCCAAGACGGUACCUGAGGAAUAAGCGACGGCUAACUACGUGCCAGCAGCCGCGGUAAU